CACGCAUGCGCCCCUCCCCCAUAAGGCCCCUGUUCCAGGGAAACACAAUGGAUUCUAGCGUUGGGACCAAGCAAGCCACUGGAGCGCAUACAUGGACCGUUGGCCGUCACAGCAGAAGGCAGUCCUGUGAUGUGAGACAACGAACCUGAAGCUACUCCCACCCCUGCUGCUCACCAGCUCUGGCGCUGACACCAGUUCCUCUUCUCUCGGGAUCUAGCAGAAGAGCCACAAAGAAUCAAUCUAAAGUUAUAUGAGAGGAAGGAAAACAAACAAAACUCCCAAACAGCAAAGAACCAAAUAAGGAUGCUUGGAUGGACUUUUCACACACAAGUAAAGAUAUUCAGUAGUCACUGUCGUGGUACCACAUCUCCUCUCAGCAUCCGUUUCCUUGCAGUCCAACCCUACAGUUUAUUAGUGCAAACAUCUGUGACUCCCUAUCUGAUGGGUUUUUCCGGUCCGCAAACUGUGCUCAGCAUUUGAGCUGGCCAGGAGGAAAGUUCAGUGCAGCCAAUGCCCCAGGAGCAGACUCCAGACAACGAGGGUGGAGUCUAUGGGUAAAUGCCCCAGAUACCGCCUCGGUCAAGUGGGACAAAGCCAGGCAUCUCCUACACCACCUCCUGCAGGACCCGGGCAGGACUGAGCCCCACGUGCCCAGCACGCUCACCUGAGCACUAAGACACCCAGCAUUGGCUUCUCACAUUCCUAACCCACCCAACCAGAGUCUGCUUUUGAGGGAACCCAUGCUAAAGUGGAUCAUUUGUUCAGUGCCUAUGUUUCAGGUGACCACUGUACUUCUGGAUUAAAAUAAAGAAUUUUGUUUACACCCAAAUAUUAAAAAAUGAAUUCUCAGAUAAGGCUUUUAUAUAGGAUUAAAAUCAUGGUCUGUGGCAGAGCAGCUCUGCUCAAAUGCAUCCUCUACAGCCACUGCUCGGGGAUGUUAGAGUAAUCAAUGUCAGACAUUGAGCAGAGUGCUUGACAUACUGCGUGUAGUAAAUGUAAGUGUAGUUUGAUGUGUUUUGACCAAUGCAUACACCCGUGUAAACAUGGCCCCGGUAAAGGCAAUAUUCCCACAACCUCUCAAGUCCUCUGUAGCCAAUCUUCACACACCCCUGCCCCAGGCAAGACCCAUCUGUUCUCUCUCACUAUAGUUCAGUGACUUUGGGUUUGAAAACAUGAUUAGAAGUUGAAUUCAGUCAAAUAGAUAAUAACUGUUUCGGGGGGGAAGGUUGCUUCACUAUGUGCUAUCAUUUUUUAUCAAAACAAUUGACGUUCAUCACUUCUCUGAGUGAUGAAGAAAGAGAAAGCCAUUUUCAGAAUUGAU